rnacentral:lncRNA from 1 species
GAGGGGAAGGCGGAGCCGACGAGGCGGAGAUGGAUAGAGAGAGGGAGGGAGAGGGAUAGGAGGGAGGAGAUCAAAGAAUUGACGGUGUUUGUGGAGUCGGGAAGGGAAGAGAGGGAUUUCUUGAGGGAGGAAGGGAGAGAUCCGAAGGUAUCGUUAGAGGCUUGUGGGUCGAUGUGGGAUUGGGUGGUGAGGAAGGUGUCGAGGCCGGGGACCGGGUCGGCGGCGGAGGCGGCGACGGAGAGGAGGAGAAGCAGGAAGACGGUGGUGGUGGGCAUUCUUUUCGGGGGAUGGGACUGGAGAGAAAGAAAGGAGUGACUGAGUGCAAAUUUACAGAUUUGACGGAGAUGUAGAAGACAUGAGGAGGGUAUUUUGGGAAAAGGGCAGAAUUGGAUGGAUCGUCACCUCUCAAGUAAGGGGAUUGCUAUAUAACACUUUAUAUUUUACCGCAAAACGUCAUAACAUUGUCCUAACAUCUGAAUUCGGUAGUUGAAGUGACCUAAACGUCCCUGAAAUAGUAAAAUUACAAUUUCGUUAUAAGAUGCUGAAAAUCGAAGAAUUGUUAUACCACUUGAAACGACCAAUUCAUUCACCUUAAUUCGCAUGACUAAUUACUAAUUUUGAAGUACUAAAUAAUUAAUUAUUAAAUUACCAAGUAUUUAAUUACCAAAUAGAUUGUUACUAUAAUUAAUUAAACUUAAUAAUUCACCUUACUUAUCAUGACUAGUUACAUUUUAAUAAUAAAAACAUAAAAAUUAUUAAAAAAAUAUUUGGCGUCGGCAUUGAACGCCCACAACUAGGGAUGGCAACGGGGCGGAUCAGGGCCGCGUAAGGGGUACCCGUUCCCCGCCCACCGAUUGCGGCGGGGGGGUGUGCCCCGGCCCCCCCCCCCCCCCCCCCGGCGGCCGCUUCGCGCACACUACGNNNNNNNNNNNNNNNNNNNNNNNNNNNNNNNNNNNNNNNNNNNNCGAAGGUAUCGUUAGAGGCUGGUGGGUCGAUGUGGGAUUGGGUGGUGAGGAAGGUGUCGAGGCCGGGGACCGGGUCGGCGGCGGAGGCGGCGACGGAGAGGAGGAGAAGCAGGAAGACGGUGGUGGUGGGCAUUCUUUUCGGGGGAUGGGACUGGAGAGAAAGAAAGGAGUGACUGAGUGCAAAUUUACAGAUUUGACGGAGAUGUAGAAGACAUGAGGAGGGUAUUUUGGGAAAAGGGCAGAAUUGGA